rnacentral:ncRNA from 2 species
UUUUAAAAUCCGACAGCCGGCAAUGAAGCAAGCCGGCGGCGACAUUUUCAGGCAAACGGAAGUCCGUGAGAAUCGGACGCGGUCGCGCCUCUGUAAUCGUCCUCAAAAUCCGGGCACAAAGCCACUGCGCAAAGCGCGGGAAGGCGCACGGAAGGCGGGCGGGAAUUUUCCUCCCCCCGCCGGGACGCAAGCCAGAAGACGUGCCUGGAAAUUUCCCUUUGG